rnacentral:rRNA from 1 species
UACGUAGGGUGCAAGCGUUGUCCGGAAUUAUUGGGCGUAAAGAGCUCGUAGGCGGUUUGUCGCGUCUGCUGUGAAAACUCGGGGCUUAACUCCGGGCCUGCAGUGGGUACGGGCAGACUAGAGUGCGGUAGGGGGAGACUGGAAUUCCCAGUGUAGAGGUGAAAUUCGUAGAUAUUGGGAAGAACACCGGUGGCGAAGGCGGCGACCUGGUCCUUGACUGACGCUGAGGCGCGAAAGCGUGGGGAGCAAACAGG